AGUAACCUGCCUUGGAGUGGGGAAUAACACAGUGAAAAUUGUGCUAAUACCGCAUAAUGCAUUUGGAUCGCAUGGUUCUGAAUGCCAAAGAUUUAUCGCUCUGAGAUGGACUCGCGUCUGAUUAGCUAGUUGGCGGGGCAACGGCCCACCAAGGCGACGAUCAGUAGCCGGACUGAGAGGUUGGCCGGCCACAUUGGGACUGAGACACGGCCCAG
rnacentral:rRNA from 1 species